AUUGCCCUAAGUGCCAGCGGUGUACUGGGUGGAAUGGAUUGCGAAAGCGAGGAAGUUGUUCUCAAUCUUUGCUAGAUCUUGCCUGGACAGCCUUGCUGGCAACUGAUGAGGCGUCAAACUGGAUGCACUGGAGACUGUGGUAGAAUAAAGGACCCUCUGGAAUAUCCUGACAAUUCUGGACAAUGUUUCUCACCCUCUGCAUGCCACCUUGGCUGAACAGAGGAGCACUUUCACUAACAGACUAAGACAACUGCACUACAGCAAAGAGCGCUAUAUGAGUUCGUUCUUACCCUCAGCCAUUAGGCUCUAUAAUGAGUCAGCCUACAGCUGGGGAAGUGAAGAUCCACUCCUGCUAGAUUGUUUUUGGUAACUUAUUUUUUAUUCUAUCUAGUUCUAUUCUAAUAUUUAUACCUGUGCACUUGUAA